rnacentral:misc_RNA from 1 species
UAUACCACGUUGAGGUUGACAUUCUGUUCGGAAGAAGCAUGAAGUGCCUAAUAUGUUUACUUAUCAUUGUUUCAUCAGUAUUUUGCGAUGAUGGUGAACUUAUGGCCUCACGACAGUUCAACAUCAAACCCGAUCCCUCAGUGAAAUCGACAGAAAUCGUAUGGAAUGACAUCAAGUGCACAUUUGCCUACCAGGCCAUGGGAGGAACCAAUGAGGACUGGGAGAUAGGAAUUCUUCAACCUGCUAAACAGACUGAACACCAAGUCACCUGCAUGGUGAACAGAGCGGGUGGAAGGACAACUUACUUAAAUUUCCAGAGCUUCUCCUUCAAGAUUGAAGGUGCAACGUAUGCCAUGGCACAACCAUUUGACUCUAAAAACGAACCCCUCCCGCAUACCGAGUUUGUUGAACUUCCGAAGAAAAAUAUGGUUAAACAAAGCAAGAAGUUUGAGAAUUCUAUUGGAAGAGUUAUAUUGUGGGCGAAAAUGGAACAAGAAGAGGAGCUGGGGAAAAUGGAACAAAAAGAGGAUUUGUAAUGAUUAGCUACAGCAACUGAUAACAUCACAGCGCAGCUAUAUACAUGACUACACAGCUUACCUGCCUACAUCUGUGUCGUGUGUUUCCCUACAACCAUCCACCUGAGCUUGUCGCUUCAGGGGAUGUGGUGUUAGAUGAGAGCGUUGUGGUAUUAGAUUAAAAUGAUGUGGUGUUAGGCAAGAGCAUUGUGGUAUAAGGCAAGAUCGAUGUGGUGUUAGGUGAGAGUGUUUUGGAAUUUAGUGAGAGUUAUUGAUGUAGGUAAGGUGAAAGUGAUGUGGUGUUAGGUGAGAGUGUUGUGGUAUUUAGUGAAAGUGAUUGAUGAAGGUAAGGAGAGAGUGAUAUGUGGCGUUAGGUGGGAGCGAUGUGGUGUUAGGUGGGAGUGAUGUAGUGUUAGGUGGGAGUGAUGUGGUGUUAGGUGGGAGCGAUGUGGUGUUAGGUGGGAGUGAUGUAGUGUUAGGUGCAAGUCAUAUAUAUGGUUGCACAUGGUUGUUUCAGUUUUAACAAUUUUAUCACAAAUAUUCUGCUUUACAAAUCAUUUUAUCAUUUAAAGUCAUGAUUUUUUCUAUGGAAUACAGAUAAAACACCAUGACAAAUUCUAACGAUAGUGUCACAAUUACUCCCAAUCAAAUAAUGGGAGGCAUACAGCUUCUGUUGGUUCUCCUUCUAAUGACAUCUUUUUGGGACUGUAAAUUUAAAAGCAUUUUAGAUGUGUUGUUAAAACGUCGGCAUCACCUACAAAAAAGGUGUACACUCCACAAUUAUUGUUUAAUUUAACUUUUAAAGCAACAAAAUUAUCUUGCAAAAUUGGUUAUUUUGUCAUCCACAAAAAUACAUGUACAGUACAUAUAUACCGUAAAGCCAGCCUUUAAUGAAUUAAUUUUCUAACAAUUAUCCUUACAUCAUGGUGGACCAUAUUAGAUUAGCUUACGUCAAUAUCAUCGGGAUGGAAAUAAGCAUCUUCACAGAUUAACAAGAACUUGAUAGUCACUCAGAUGAAUCAAAAGUCAUAGCUUUAUGUAAAAUACGAGUAACAUUUAUCACUUGUCAUGUAUUCUUAGCACGAUGUAUGUAAGGACAAUUUGUUUUUCUGACGAUGUGCUUACUGUACAUGAAAAUGAUGAAAUUUGGUAUUAUAUGUUCCAAGUAAACAAGAGAUUUUAUUAUUCCUAUAUGAUCAUGUUACCCAGUUACAGUGUGUCUGAUUGGUUAGACAAAUCACAUGACCGGGAGACAAAACAGAAAGGCUCUUUCAUGCGACCCAUUUUUCCCCAAGGAGUAAUCUUCAUGGAUUAUAUCAAAAUUUAAUCUGAUUGUUAAAUUUGAUGCUAGCUUUAUUGUGUUAUAUGUAAAUACUACAAAGCCACUAUGGGAAUUUGAAAUCAUAACUUUAAAGUGUUUAUAUUGCCAUGGUUGGGAUAUAUUACGAUUGGCUGCACCCUUGGAAGACACAAGUUAUCUCAGGGAAGCAAAUUUUCAUGUCUCCCUCACAACAAUGAAAUGAAAAAAAGUAUAUUUAAAAACUGGAAAUCUUAAACUGUAAACCAGUUUUUUUAAACAAAAUGAUCAUAUUUUCAGUUCACAGGAAGUUUCAUGGCGUUACAUGUAUAUUUAUAUAUAAUAUAUGUAAAAAGCCCUGGUAAGGAUUGUCACAAAUGCUUCUCAUUGAAUUUGCCUUUUUGCAGAAAUAUAGAGAGUGAAAAAUGUAACUAUGCAAAAAUAUGAAGCUUUAAAUACUGUUAAAAGUUGUGAAGUAAUGAAAAAAAAAAGAUUUUUAUGUAUCUUUUGUAUGUCAGCUCUAAAUUCACAAUUGACUCACCUCAGUAUAUAAUAAAUGGAUAUCUCUCAAAAUGAAAAAAUAAUCUCAAAGUAAAAUAGAAAUGUAUUUGUGUGAAUGGUUGAAAAUAGAUUUGUAGUUUAGAAUCGGUGUCAUAUUUUUUCUACAAUCAAGGUUAAUUUCUUUAUGUGAAGAACAUGAUGGAUAUUAAAAUAAGAUAUGUAUUUUUAUAUAAAAUAGAAAAUCCACAUUAAUACACACAUCCAAUUCAAGAGCUGCCCGAGAAGUGUAGGGGCAAAGGAAAUCUGAGAUAGAUUUUGGGUGCUUUUCAAAACAUUCUGCUUUCUAAAAAAUAACUUCUCUUAGGUAUAAAGUACUAUCAUUAACAUGAUUAUAUUAUUUCAAUCUGGAAUAUUUGGUUGUGUCGCCGUUCUUUAUGGACUAAAAUUAACCAAAGUUUGAAAACUUUUGAAGACUUUUGUUUGUUCCUAGUUCUCACAAAAAGAGGGUUCUUGUCAGUGUUGGAAGUUGACUUCCAUAAACCAGAACACACAUAUAGUAUCUAGGGUACCAGCCAUAUAGAAACUCCAAGGGUGUCUGUUGGGUGAUAGUGUAUAUGGGAUUGGGGAAAAUUGUUAUUUAUUGAACAAAUAAAAAUGAUAAGUCUU